rnacentral:lncRNA from 1 species
UGUUUCUACUUUGUUCUCACGGCCAGUUCCAGAAUAUCUACGAUCCGCUUCCUUUAGCUUAUGCUUAAAGCUCGGUUUACGCCCAGAUGCUUUGACCUCUUGCUGCUUGGCUUGAGAAGGUGGAGCACCGUGAGGUCCCAAGUAGAUUUUCUCAGCUUCUAUGGUGGUCUGUUAUAGCAUAUAUAUUAUUUGGUCAAAGUGAAGUAGGUAAAUAUAUACUGUUGGAACAACUUAGUGCAGGAAAACCCAACACAGAAAUGACUAUCCACAAAACAAACAUUCAAAGACUAACCGUCGCAGGAGGUUUAGAAUCCGUUACUCCAGGCACAUUUGUGUCAGAAGGAUCAAAAUCACCGAUUGUCAAGCUUGGGAUCACA